GACACAUCUCCCCGCGUCCCCCCCUUCACUUCGCCCCGACCGGCUCAAGAAAGUACGAUUCUUUGCUGCUGGCGCCAGCUGCAUGAGAAAUUGCGGCGCGUAACCUGACAGGUCUGUGGUUAGAAAGUUAAUUUCUAAUGGAAACCAAUGGAAAGAGGCGAAUGAAAGACUGGGCUCCUCAGCUACUUUGGUCACUGCGGUUGUUUUCGGGGUGCUAGCUCGCGUGUGUGUGAUGGCACCCCGCACACGCUGUAUACCGUAAUAGCGGCACUCAUGACACUAAAGCCGCCUCCAUGGCUGCUGAUGCGGGACGCUGCUGCUGUGACAUGUCGGUCCAACGUCGUUAAAAGUCGUUAAACUUGCCUAAUUGCCCACUGGUGAUGACCAUGGACGAGUCCCCCCGCGGACCCACUCAUGAGGAAACGAAGCGAUAUCAAGAACAGAGAAAAAUAAGCCAUGUUUUAUAAAUUUCAUGUCUCCAUAACUUCUCAACUUUACACAUUAUUUGUUGACA